GACGAACGCUGGCGGCGUGCUUAACACAUGCAAGUCGAGCGGUAAGGCCCUUUCGGGGGUACACGAGCGGCGAACGGGUGAGUAACACGUGGGUGACCUGCCCUCAGCUCUGGGAUAAGCCCGGGAAACUGGGUCUAAUACCGGAUAUGACUCCAUGACGCAUGUUGUGGGGUGGAAAGCCUUGUGCGGCUGAGGAUGGGCCCGCGGCCUAUCAGCUUGUUGGUGGGGUGAUGGCCACCAAGGCGACGACGGGUAGCCGGCCUGAGAGGGCGACCGGCCACACUGGGACUGAGAUACGGCCCAGACUCCUACGGGAGGCAGCAGUGGGGAAUCUUGCGCAAUGGGCGAAAGCCUGACGCAGCGACGCCGCGUGAGGGAU
rnacentral:rRNA from 1 species